rnacentral:rRNA from 1 species
AUUGAACGCUGGCGGCAGGCCUAACACAUGCAAGUCGAGCGAGCGGCGGACGGGUUAGUAAUGUCUGGGAAACUGCCUGAUGGCGGGGGAUAACUACUGGACACGGUAGCUAAUACCGCAUACCAUCAGAUGUGCCCAGAUGGGAUUAGCAAGUAGGUGGGGUAACGGCUCACCUAGGCGACGAUCCCUAGCUGGUCUGCGUGAAUGACCAGCCACACUGGAACGGAGACACGGUCCAGACUCCUACGGGAGGCAGCAGUGGGGAAUAUUGCACAAUGGGCGAAAGCCAGAUGCGGCCAUGCCGCGUGUGUGAAAAAGGCUGUCGGGUUGUGAAGCACUUUAAGCGGGGAGGCGUUACCCGCAGAAGAAGCACCGGCUAACUCCGUGCCAGCAGCCGCGGUAAUUC